rnacentral:tRNA from 1 species
GAUCCCAUCGUCUAGCGGUUAGGACACCGGCCUCUCACGCCGGUAACAGGGGUUCGAUUCCCCUUGGGAUCACCA